GUGGAUGGCGUGUCUUUGAAGUAUUCAGCUCUACCAAACGAAGGUUUUAUACAGAUAGUGACCAAAUAUAGUGGGAUCAAGAAUGUUUGUUUGCAAAGUUUAACGAACGAAGCCGCGAAUAUUGUUUGUCGUCAAUUGGGUUACACGAGAAUGGUGUCUCAUGUUAGUAAAGUCCCUCCAUCAAAUCAAGAUGCAAUAUUUUCUGGAAGUAUAGAGUGUAGCAGUGGAGAAAAAAACUUAUCUCAAUGCUCC
rnacentral:lncRNA from 1 species